rnacentral:rRNA from 1 species
GAUGAACGCUGGCGGCGUGCCUAAUACAUGCCAGUCGAGCGAACGGACGAGAAGCUUGCUUCUCUGAUGUUAGCGGCGGACGGGUGAGUAACACGUGGAUAACCUACCUAUAAGACUGGGAUAACUUCGGGAAACCGGAGCUAAUACCGGAUAAUAUUUUGAACCGUAUGGUUCAAAAGUGAAAUACGGUCUUGCUGUCACUUAUAGAUGGAUCCGCGCUGCAUUAGCUAGUUGGUAAGGUAACGGCUUAUCAAGGCGACGAUGCAUAGCCGACCUGAGAGGGUGAUAGGCCACACUAGAACGGAGACACGGUCAAGACUCCUGCGGGAGGCAGCAGUCGGGAAUCUUACGCAGUGGGCGAAAGCCUGACGGAGCGGCGCCGCGUGAGUGAUGAAGGUGUUCGGAUCGUAAAACUCUGUUAUUAGGGAAGAACAUAUGUGUCAGUAACUGUGCACAUCUUGACGGUACCUAAUCAGAAAGCCACGGCUAACUACGUG